rnacentral:rRNA from 1 species
GAUGAACGCUGGCGGCGUGCUUAACACAUGCAAGUCGAACGGGAAACCUUUUAUUGAAGCUUUGGCAGAUUUAGCUGGUUUCUAGUGGCGGACGGGUGAGUAACGCGUGGGUAACCUGCCCUAUACAGGGGGAUAACAACCAGAAAUGGUUGCUAAUACCGCAUAAGCGCACGGGACCGCAUGGUCCAGUGGGAAAAACUCCGGUGGUAUAGGAUGGACCCGCGUUGGGUUGGCUAGUUGGUGGGGUAACGGCACACCAAGGCGACGAUCCAUAGCCGGCCUGAGAGGGUGAACGGCCACAUUGGGACUGAGACACGGCCCAGACUCCUACGGGAGGCAGCAGUGGGGAAUAUUGCACUGUGGGGGAAACCCUGAUGCAGCGACGCCGCGAGAAGGAAGAAGUAUCUCGGUAUGUAAACUUCUAUCAGCAGGGAAGAUAGUGACGGUACCUGACUAAGAAGCCCCGGCUAACUACGUGCCAGCCGCCGCCGUAA